rnacentral:rRNA from 1 species
UACGUAGGGUGCAAGCGUUGUCCGGAAUUAUUGGGCGUAAAGAGCUCGUAGGCGGUUUGUUGCGUCGGCUGUGAAAUCCCGAGGCUCAACCUCGGGUCUGCAGUCGAUACGAGCAAACUAGAGUGUUGCAGGGGAGACUGGAAUUCCUGGUGUAGCGGUGAAAUGCGCAGAUAUCAGGAGGAACACCGGUGGCGAAGGCGGGGUCUCUGGGGCAACAACUGACGCUGAGGAGCGAAAGCCGUGGGGAGCGAACAGG